rnacentral:lncRNA from 1 species
AUGUUGGAACCUCCUCUCCUCCUCUCUCCUCUCAUCCCUUCUCCUCCUCCUCUCUCCUCCUCCUCUCUCCUCUCAUCCCUUCUCCCCCUCCUCUCUCCUCCUCCUCUCCUCUCAUCCUCCUCUCUCCUCUCUCUCCUCCUCCUCCUCUCCUCCUCUCUCCUUCUCCUCUCUCCUCUCCUCCUCCUCUCUCCUUCUCCUCCUCUCCUCUCCUCCUCUCUCCUUCUCCUCCUCCUCUCUCCUUCUCCUCCUCCUCCUCCUCCUCUCUCCUCCUCCUCUCCUCUCCUCCUCUCCUCUCUCCUCUCCUCUCCCUCUAUUGCAGAAUUACAGAGUUAUAACCCAGGAUUCCUCUCAUCCUUCUCCUCUCUCCUCCCCCAUUCCUCUCCUCUCAUCCUUCUCCUCCUCUCCUCUCCUCCCUUCUCCUCUCUUCUCCACCUCUCCUCCCCCACUCCUCUCCUCUCAUCCCUUCUCCUCCCUUCUCCUCUCUUCUCCACCUCUCCUCCCCCACUCCUCUCCUCUCAUCCCUUCUCCUCUCUUCUCCACCUCUCCUCCCCCACUCCUCUCAUCCCUUCUCCCCCUCCUCUCCUCCCCCUAUCCUCUCCUCUCAUCCCUUCUCCUCCUCCUCUCUUCUCUACCUCUCCUCCCCCACUACUCUUCCUCUCAUCCCUUCUUCUCCUCCUGUCCCCUCUCCUCCUACUCUCCUCUCAUCCCUUCUUCUCCUCCUGUCCCCUCUCCUCCUACUCUCCUCUCAUCCCUUCUCCUCCUCCUGUCCCCUCUCCUACUCUCCUCUCAUACCUUCUUCUCCUCCUGUCCCCUCUCCUACUCUCCUCUCAUCCCUUCUUCUCCUCCUGUCCCCUCUCCUCCUACUCUCCUCUCAUCCCUUCUCUUCCUCCUAUCCCGUCUCCCCCCCACUCCCCUCUCAUCCCUUCUCCUCCUCCUGUCCCCUCUCCUCCUACUCUCCUCUCAUCCCUUAUUCUCCUCCUGUCCCCUCUCCUCCUACUCUCCUCUCAUCCCUUCUCCUCCUCCUAUCCCGUCUCCCCCCCACUCCCCUCUCCUCCUCCUCUCAUCCCUUCUCCUCCUCCUCUCCUCUCAUCCCCCCUCCUCCUCCUCCCCUCUCCUCCUCCCCUGUCCUGCUGUGAAAUGCUUGUCUUGACUGAGGGAUGA